rnacentral:rRNA from 1 species
CAGUCGCCGCGGUAAUACGAAGGGGGCUAGCAUUGUUCGGAUUUACUGGGCGUAAAGGGCGCGUAGGCGGGCUGAUCAGUCAGGGGUGAAAUCCCAAGGCUCAACCUUGGAACUGCCUUUGAUACUGUCGGUCUUGAGUUCGAGAGAGGUAAGUGGAACUGCGAGUGUAGAGGUGAAAUUCGUAGAUAUUCACAAGAACACCAGUGGCGAAGGCGGCUUAUUGGCUCGAAACUGACGCUGAGGCGCGAAAGCGUGGGGAGCAAACAGGAUUAGAUACCCCAGUAGUCCCUGUCUCUUAUAC